GUGGAUCACUCGGCUCGUGGAUCGAUAAAGAACGCAGCUAGCUGCGAUAAUUAGUGCGAAGUGCAGAAACUUUGAGCACAAAUAUUUCGAAUGCAUAUUGCGCCUUUGGAGUCAAAUCCAUUGGCACGGCUGGUUCAGGGUCAUUUAUAUAA
rnacentral:rRNA from 1 species